GUGACAGCACGAUUGAGCCGUUAAUGAAUUAGACUGUGCUGCAGGGGGAACAUUUCCCUGCCUCUCAGACUUUCAGGGAUUCUUACAGGGUCACAAAAAGUCUGCAAAAGAGCUGGGAAUAGAACUUUGCUCUCCCCACCAGAACUCUGCUAGAGACAGAACCCUGCCCUUCCGAGACCCUCGCAGGGGGAGCCCUUCUCCUGCCCAAGCUCCAUCACCAGUCUGUUUUGGAGAGAAAUGUGGGGGUCUCAUUUAAAACGAGACGAUGUGCUAAUUGCCCACGUGCUGAGGGCUCCUUACAGCGAGGCGCAGGGGCUGUUCUCUUCUGGGCCAGGCUGUGUUGCUGCAGCAGCCAGAGUACCGCGGGGGAACUAAUAAUACACCAUUCCCAAAUACGGCUUUGUGUACGUUUCCACUGGUGAUGUUGGAGCAAUCUGUAUUUUGGAAAAAAAAAAGCUGCUUCCCAAACGUUCAAAACAGAUUCUUCAUGCAUCGCUUUCUAAUACACAGGCAUGAAAAUAGCCACUGGACAUAAUGUCCUCUCCUAAAAAGACAGUACCAAGAUGUGGAGGCUUAAAUGCGACAGCCAUAAAUUAAGGUAUCAGCUAAGAGGCACGCUCUGUUUCCAAGUGUGGCUAUUUCCAGCAAUGCCGGUUUUGAUCUGUUCUGGGGUCUCCAGCUUGCUGUGAGGGCCUGGGAAGAGUCAAGCUAACGAUGUGGAGGGGUGGAGUCGUGCGUGGGAUUGGUGACUUGGAGUGGGGAGCGCUCCCUCAAACACUGCUGAGUAGAGCCACCAGGGUACACAUAAUGGAGAAUGCGGGCAUAGCUUUCCAUGGCCUGGGGAGAAGCCUGGGUCUUGCUGCUUUGGUGACAUGGAAAGGAGAGCAGCAGCCGCAACAGGGCCUGACAACUACACUUGCAGCAGCAGCAGCAGCAGCAGCAGCAGCAAACGUCAUUCCAGCAGAAGCAUCAAGAGGAUCAUCAGCAAUUCAUGCUCAAAAUGGUGGCUUGGGACCCCCACAUUCUAGAGGUUGGUGCAGGUUGCCAGUGUGAGAAGAGGAGCCCUCACUAAGAUGGGACCAGAGGAUGACCUGGAGUCAUUCCGAGAGACCUUUGAGCAGGUGGCUGAGGCCUGUUGACCCCAGUAUUGAGUUUUGUAUUGACUUCCACAAAGUACAUGCAGUUGCUAAAUUUGAUGCAUAGCAUAUGCUUAGGAUUGAUGAGAUGCUAGAUGAACUGGGGCAGGCCCAAAACCUAACAAUGCUGGCCCUUACUAGGGGUUAUUGGCAAAGCCCCUUCAUAGAAUCAUAGGGUUGGAAGGGACCUCAGGAGGUCAUCUAGUCCAACCCCCUGCUCAAUGCCAGACCAAUCCCCAGAUAGAUUUUUACCCCGGUUCCCUAAAUGGCCCCCUCAAGGACUGAGCUCACAACCCUGAGUUUAGCAGGCCAAUGCUCAAACCCCUCAGCUAUCCCUUCACCCCAGAGCUGACUGCACAUGCCACACCUAAUGGCCUCUACCAAUUCCGAACCCUGCUGUUU
rnacentral:lncRNA from 1 species